rnacentral:rRNA from 1 species
GCACCACAAGAACGCGUGGAGCAUGUGGCUUAAUUUGACUCAACGCGGGAAAUCUUACCGGGUCCGGACACACUGAGGAUUGACAGGCAAUAUCUUGGCUGUUUAAUAACCGUUUAUUAAUAAUAAACGGUUCAUUAAACAGAUCGAGUGUUAAAUAUGCUAGUCCUUUCAUGAUUAUGUGAUAGGUGGUGCAUGGCCGUUCUUAGUUCGUGGAGUGAUCUGUCUGCUUAAUUGCGUUUCACUAAGGGCCCAUAAAUUCAAGGUAUGUUAGCAAUCGUCGCUCUAUGGACCCCUUAUUUCAGUUUAUUAAUAAACUGUUAUAAGCGCGCGUCUUGUUUAAAGAGUUUAAGACACUGCGCAUGCUGUUGGGCUCUGAAAGCAACGAACGUGACCGCAACGUCUUGUUGCCUUAAUCAAGUCGGCUGUUUAAUAAUCUGUUUAAUUAAACAGACAGACAGCAGUCAUUAUAUGGCUUAUCCGAGGCUAUUUAAAACUAGACGAACCGCUGUUUCUUUUCUUAAACCAGAGGAAGGUUGCGGCAAUAACAGGUCUGUGAUG